GGGAGCCGGACUUCACCCCCGACUUUGAUUGUAGGUAGACUCCGUCCGGACUCCUACGGGAGCCGGACUUCGCCCCCAACUUUGAUUGCAUGUAGACUCUGUCCGGACUCCUACGGGAGUCGGACUUCGCCCCCGACUUUGAUUGCAGGUAGACUCCGUCCGGACUCCUACGGGAGCCGGACUUCAUCACUGACUUCGGCU
rnacentral:lncRNA from 1 species